rnacentral:rRNA from 1 species
UUCCGGUUGAUCCCGCCGGACCCCACUGCUAUCGAGAUGGGACUAAGGUAUGCUAGUCGAACGACCAGAACUAUGUCUGGAAGUGGCACACUGCUCAGUAACACGUAGCUAACCUACCCUUAGGACGUGGAUACCCCCGAGAAAUUGGGGUUAAUCCGCGAUAGGUGUAAUGUCCUGGAAUGGUAUUACGCCUAAAGGUGUAUCAUACAUGUUUGAUAUACGCCUAAGGAUGGGGCUGCGGCCGAUCAGGCUGUUGGUGAGGUAAUGGCUCACCAAACCUUUGACCGGUACGGGCCAUGAGAGUGGUAGCCCGGAGAUGGACACUGAGACAAGGGUCCAGGCCCUAAGGGGCGCAGCAACCGCGAAACCUCCACAAUGCACUCACGUGCGAUGGGGCUAUCUCGAGUGCCACCUGAAGAAGGUGGCUUUUCCUUGGUCUAAAAAGCCUCGGGAAUAAGAGGGGGGCAAGACUGGUGUCAGCCGCCGCGGUAACACCAGCCCCUCGAGUGGUGGGGAUGAUUAUUUGGCCUAAAGCGUCCGUAGCCGGCCGUGUAAUUCUUCCGUUAAAUCCAGCGUCUCA